rnacentral:rRNA from 1 species
GAUGAACGCUGGCGGCGUGCCUAAUACAUGCAAGUCGAGCGAACGGACGAGAAGCUUGCUUCUCUGAUGUUAGCGGCGGACGGGUGAGUAACACGUGGAUAACCUACCUAUAAGACUGGGAUAACUUCGGGAAACCGGAGCUAAUACCGGAUAAUAUUUUGAACCGCAUGGUUCAAAAGUGAAAGACGGUCUUGCUGUCACUUAUAGAUGGAUCCGCGCUGCAUUAGCUAGUUGGUAAGGUAACGGCUUACCAAGGCAACGAUGCAUAGCCGACCUGAGAGGGUGAUCGGCCACACUGGAACUGAGACACGGUCCAGACUCCUACGGGAGGCAGCAGUAGGGAAUCUUCCGCAAUGGGCGAAAGCCUGACGGAGCAACGCCGCGUGAGUGAUGAAGGUCUUCGGAUCGUAAAACUCUGUUAUUAGGGAAGAACAUAUGUGUAAGUAACUGUGCACAUCUUGACGGUACCUAAUCAGAAAGCCACGGCUAACUACGUGCCAGCAGCCGCGGUAAUACGUAGGUGGCAAGCGUUAUCCGGAAUUAUUGGGCGUAAAGCGCGCGUAGGCGGUUUUUUAGUCUGAUGUGAAAGCCCACGGCUCAACCGUGGAGGGUCAUUGGAAACUGGAAAACUUGAGUGCAGAAGAGGAAAGUGGAAUUCCAUGUGUAGCGGUGAAAUGCGCAGAGAUAUGGAGGAACACCAGUGGCGAAGGCGACUUUCUGGUCUGUAACUGACGCUGAUGUGCGAAAGCGUGGGGAUCAAACAGGAUUAGAUACCCUGGUAGUCCACGCCGUAAACGAUGAGUGCUAAGUGUUAGGGGGUUUCCGCCCCUUAGUGCUGCAGCUAACGCAUUAAGCACUCCGCCUGGGGAGUACGACCGCAAGGUUGAAACUCAAAGGAAUUGACGGGGACCCGCACAAGCGGUGGAGCAUGUGGUUUAAUUCGAAGCAACGCGAAGAACCUUACCAAAUCUUGACAUCCUUUGACAACUCUAGAGAUAGAGCCUUCCCCUUCGGGGGACAAAGUGACAGGUGGUGCAUGGUUGUCGUCAGCUCGUGUCGUGAGAUGUUGGGUCAAGUCCCGCAACGAGCGCAACCCUUAAGCUUAGUUGCCAUCAUUAAGUUGGGCACUCUAAGUUGACUGCCGGUGACAAACCGGAGGAAGGUGGGGAUGACGUCAAAUCAUCAUGCCCCUUAUGAUUUGGGCUACACACGUGCUACAAUGGACAAUACAAAGGGCAGCGAAACCGCGAGGUCAAGCAAAUCCCAUAAAGUUGUUCUCAGUUCGGAUUGUAGUCUGCAACUCGACUACAUGAAGCUGGAAUCGCUAGUAAUCGUAGAUCAGCAUGCUACGGUGAAUACGUUCCCGGGUCU